AGUCUGCUAUUGAUAAGAUAACCGUUAGAACCGUCGAUGUAAAAAAAAAGCAUGAAUAAAACUGUCUUAUGCACGGUGUGAUGUUUUUGUGCGUUGUGGUAGAAAUGUCAAACGGUUUAUGCUCUGUUUGUGAUGUUUUUGCUCCUUCCUGGACAGAAGAAAGUGUUUCGUGUGUUGGAUAGUGAUUUUACAACAUGCAAAUGUGAUUUCCACUUGGUCAGCAACCUUAUCGAGAAAUCAUGAUGGAAUCGACCAUCCAAACUACACCACGGACCACUGCUAUCGGUGGAUAAGAGUGACAUCACAAAUACGCCUGCUAUCGCGAUCGUGCGACAUCUCCGAUCAGUACGACACCUCCAACCGGUUGCGGUCUUGGCCUGCCAUUUGUGGCUUUCUGUGACUUGGAUUACCGCUGGCAAUGUAGUCAGCUCUGUGUACGAGGAGGCGGUCCCGGAUGGCAUUUGAACUCCGAUCCUGCCGUGUGAAGACUGGCUUCGAGGUCGCCUCGGCCACCCCAACUCUAUCGGACACAACAUUCACAGGUUUGUGGGGCAUCAUUAGCUGAUCACCGAUAGGUAGCUGCUAAAAACUUUAAAUUUUACGGUACUGUUAAUAUUCGUUUAUUUGUACCACACGAUACAAUAAGGUUCAAGGAGAAGAAAAUGAGGUGCUUCUUAAUAUAGAUUACAUAAAAGCAUUGGCGGUGGUUCCGGUGGUAGAUGUGACAACAGGAUUCAAAUCCCAUCUGGGCCAUUCGCCCAUAGUGAAGACUAUCCAACAAUGAGGAAUCAACAAGUCUAGUGAGCCAGAAAUAGCAGGCAUAACCUAAGAGUUCGUUAAGCCAAGAGAAAGAAGCAACGAGUUUCUCACACCAAAAGUAAUUGAUAAAAAAAAAUCUUAAAUAGUUGUUUCCACACCCGUAUGCGUGAUAUAAGUUUUAAAUGGAAAACACACUAGUUUGAGAAUAUAGUAAGGCAGCAUCAGACAACUAAUAGCAAAGUUUUAUUUAUUUAUUUAUAAUUUUAGUAAGACGGCUUGACGCCGUAUCGUCAAAUAAUAGCAAAGUUUUUACCUAUUCAAAAAUGUUAAUGCAAUCUGCGCACAAUAUUUUCUUUAAACUUUUUUGUUGUUGUAAAAACUUGUUGGUUGGGGCGGUCCGGUGGUCGAGGCGACAUCGACGCCGGUCCUCACAUGGUAGGACCGGAGUUCAAAUUCCAACCGAGACCGCCUCCCCGUACACACGGCCGGCUAGUUUGCUACGGAUAGAAUCAAGUCACAGAAAGCCAGAAAUGGCAGACCGAAACCUUUCAAGGUUGUAGUGCCAAGCAAGCAGAAGAUGGGUUUAAGUUUGACGUAAUCGAGGGUAAAGCGUCAACCAGCGGUUCGGCAUGAUACACUAACUAAAAAAAAAGCCAACACACUAUCACAUCGAUUUGUUAUACCUAUUUUAAAACGUUUAUUAACAGUAACUUUGUGAUACGCUUGUUUCUUGUGUUUUAUAUCUCUCGAUAUACCAAGCUACCAGAAAACGAUAGUAAGCGACACGCAGCUUAACUUAAAUUUUCCAACCCCGCCCUUGGAUUCAUUUGACCGUAAACGACACAAAACACGAUUGCCUUCGAACGAAUCAGCGCAUGAGGUCAGUUAGUAAAAACGUACAACAUGAAACAACAACCUGUUGCGGCGGACACAUUACGUAGAUGAGCUUGCAGGAAAAAAA